CCCUUAGAUGUUCUGGGCCGCACGCGCGCUACACUGAUGCAUUCAACGAGCCUAUCCUUGACCGACAGGUCCGGGUAAUCUUUGAAUCUGCAUCGUGACGGGGAUAGAUUAUUGCAAUUAUUAAUCUUCAACGAGGAAUGCCUAGUAGGCGCAAGUCAUCAGCUUGCGUCGAUUACGUCCCUGCCCUUUGUACACACCGCUCGUCGCUCCUACCGAUUGGGUGUGCUGGUGAAAUGUUCGGAUCGGCCGUUUGUCGCGGUUUCCGCGGCUCGUGGCUGAGAAGUUCAUUAAACCCUCCCACCUAGAGGAAGGAGAAGUCGUAACA
rnacentral:rRNA from 1 species